CGGUAUACAUUCAAUUUAAUCCAGUGAGUGAAGGACAUUACUCGAGCACAGAGAUUUAAAUUUAAAUUAUACUUAAAAAUGAAAGUAUUCGCUUUGGUGGUUUUAACUAAUGGUUUGUUCAUACUUUUAAUGGGCGAAUCUGAAGCAUUUGAAAAACUAAAAAAACUUUACUCGCUCGAAAAUGGCAAUUGUCAAUCUGAACGGGCGAUCGUUAUUCUAAAUAAAGACAAGAAAGAGAACAAAUUUCGUGAGUACAAUAAAAUUUUAUACAUUUUUUAACUUUUUUAGCUGACUUCUUUUAGCUAUUAACAAAAACUACACCUUUUCCAUAAACAACGACUACUAUUUCUGUUGAGACUUCUUCAGCUUCUUCAUCAAUUAAAUUGGAACCUGAUGACCUUUACGUUGAUGGUUCUGGAUCUAACAUUGAUGGUUCUGGAUCUGGUAGUGGAGCGAUUGAUGGAAGUUCUCUUCUAGCACCUGGAGAUUCAGACAGUGAACUUUAAAUUAUAAAAAUUUCAUCCCACAUCACUACAUAAACUCAUAAAUUUUUAAUGUUUGUUUGAUAUGAAAAUAUAUUUAUCAAACUCUGUACUUUUUAACUUAAUAAAAAAUAUCCAUGGAAGAAGAAUUUGAUUGAGUGCCAACUCUUCUGAAAGCCUGAAAGAGUUCUUCAAUAAAAAUUUUUUAACGACUAGUUUCAAAAUUUAAAACAACGACACAAAAUCCAUCACUUUUCAUUCGUGGAACUGAAAAUAACAUAUGAGUUCCAAUUUUCGAUGACGCGUUAUUUUCUUAUCUCCCACACGUCCUUCAUAAAUAUUCACAGCCGAUCGUUUUCACAACAUCCAAAUGGCUAAAAAAUAAAAAAAAUAACAAAAUAAAAAAUAAUAUCACAAUCUCCGUGGAAAUUAAUGCGUUGCACGUUAUUAUACCCCAGCAGACAGUCUAACAAUAAAAGAAAAUAAAUAAAAAAGAUGAAAAAAAAAAAGACCCUACCACACCCCGACAACAUCUUAAUUCGUGAUAAAAGGUAUUAGGAGACGAAAGCUGUUUGGGUGGCUCCUUUUCGCACUGGCGGGCUCACCAAACUCUCUUACAUUUAUACCCUCUUUCUCCGAGCAGAGGACUUGUACCUCUGGAGCAAAGUUCCUCAGCAAUAAACCUCCAGUGUCCAACGUAUGCUCACAAGACACGCAGCCCAAUUCUUUUUAUUCUUCUUAAUCAUCGUCUUCGUUACUCUUCCAAGUAUCCGUGGACCGCGACAAGAUUAGCAUCAUUCUCGGGGUUACACGCGAAUGGGACGACCGACCAAUAGCGAACCGGACUACUGGCCUUUCCUCAUUAGUAAUUACCACCUUCGAAGCCGAAGACCAAAAAAAUUUUGAAUAAAACGUUGACAAAACAAGAGAAUACGUUACUCUGCCGAAUCAAGAUUGCUUUUGG